rnacentral:rRNA from 1 species
GGGGGGGGAAAAAGCAGAUCCUCUUCGGAGGUGACGCCUGUGGAACGAGCGGCGGACGGGUGAGUAGCACGUGGGCAACCUGCCUGUAGGACUGGGAUAACCCCGGGAAACCGGGGCUAAUACCGGAUAAUACUUUUCGUUGCAUAACGAGAAGUUGAAAGGCGGCUUUUAGCUGUCACUUACAGAUGGGCCCGCGGCGCAUUAGCUAGUUGGUAAGGUAACGGCUUACCAAGGCGACGAUGCGUAGCCGACCUGAGAGGGUGAUCGGCCACACUGGGACUGAGACACGGCCCAGACUCCUACGGGAGGCAGCAGUAGGGAAUCUUCCGCAGUGGACGAAAGUCUGACGGAGCAACGCCGCGUGAGUGAUGAAGGUUUUCGGAUCGUAAAACUCUGUUGUCAGGGAAGAACAAGUGCCGUUCAAAUAGGGCGGCACCUUGACGGUACCUGACCAGAAAGCCCCGGCUAACUACGUGCCAGCAGCCGCGGUAAUACGUAGGGGGCAAGCGUUGUCCGGAAUUAUUGGGCGUAAAGCGCGCGCAGGCGGUCCUUUAAGUCUGAUGUGAAAGCCCACGGCUUAACCGUGGAGGGCCAUUGGAAACUGGAGGACUUGAGUACAGAAGAGGAGAGUGGAAUUCCACGUGUAGCGGUGAAAUGCGUAGAGAUGUGGAGGAACACCAGUGGCGAAGGCGACUCUCUGGUCAGUAACUGACGCUGAGGUGCAAAACCGUGGGGAGCGAACAGGAUUAAAUACCCUGGUAGUCCACGCGGUAAACGAUGAGUGCUUAGUGUUAUGGUGUUUCCGCCUUUUCGUGCUAUAUUUUCCGCUUUAAG